AAGGCUUUUUUAAUUUUAAAAAUUAAAAUUAUUUUUUUUNGUGAAGAAACAAAAAUUUAAAUUAAAGACAAGAAGACCCUAAGAAUUUUUUUUUUUANUUAAAAUAAUAUNUUUAUUUUAAAAAUUUAAUUGGGGCGAUUAAUUAAUAUUAAAAACUUUAUUAAUAAAAAAAANUGAUCCAUUAUUAAUGAUUAUUUGAUUAAAAUACUCUAGGGAUAACAGCGUAAUAAUUUUUGAUAGUUCUUAUAGAAAAAAUAGUUUGCGACCUCGAUGUUGGAUUAGGAUUCUUUUUUAAUGAAGAAGUUAAAAAAAGAAG
rnacentral:rRNA from 1 species